AUUUUUCCCUCGUUUUCUGCUCUCUUCCAAACCCCCACUUUCUCUCUCUAAAACACCACACAGAUCCCUCACUUUCUCUCUCUAAAAACCCUAACCUGAACUCUAAUUACCACAAUCACCACAACUCCUUAACUAGUUUUCACACAAUUCUCACCAAAUGUCUGAACCUCGAGCUCCGAACUGCCACGUGGCACUACCGCCAGUCCCGGCGACGGUUUCCGGUGCCGGAGGUGGACAGAUCCUGCAUCCGAUUAGGCGUCAGUUACCGUUCUCAUCGAUGAAACCGCCGUUUGUUCCGGCCGGUGAUUGUUAUCGGUUUUCAUCGGAGAUUGAUGGCGGUGUUGCACGCGCCACCGCUGAGAACGUUGAAGUAAUUGUUGUUAAAUCUCCGCCAGUGAAGAGAAAACUUGGAACAGAUUAUAAUAAACUUCCAUCUAAUGAGUGGGCAAGUAUUGGUUACACUGCUACAGUCAAUAGUCCCCUUCAGACUCCUGUAUCUGCAAAAGGCGGAAGGAUAAACGCACGUUCAAAGGCUACAAAAAGCAACAAAUGUGCUCCUCAGACCCCUGUCUCAAAUACCGGUUCACCUGCUCCACUUACUCCAGUUGGCAGCUGCCGCUACGACAGCUCACUAGGUCUUUUGACAAAAAAAUUCAUCAACCUCAUCAAGCAUGCUGAAGAUGGCAUUCUUGAUUUGAAUAACGCCGCUGAUAUCUUGGAGGUGCAGAAGAGGCGAAUAUAUGAUAUAACAAAUGUUCUUGAAGGGAUUGGUCUAAUCGAAAAGAAGCUCAAAAACAGAAUUCAAUGGAAAGGUCUUGAUGCAUCAAAAUCUGGGGAGUUGAAGGAUGAUGUUGCUUCGUUACAGGCAGAAGUUCAAACUCUUUCAAUGGAAGAACAUAAAUUAGAUGAAAGUAUCAGGGAAAUGCAGGAAAGAAUGAGGGACAUGAGUGAAGAUAACUCAAACCAGAAAUGGCUUUUUGUUACUGAAGAUGACAUAAAAGGUCUACCAUGUUUCCAGAACGAAACCUUGAUAGCAAUCAAGGCUCCUCAUGGGACUACUCUUGAAGUCCCGGAUCCUGAUGAGGCUGUUGAUUAUCCACAAAGGAGAUACAGGAUAAUUCUUAGAAGCACAAUGGGCCCUAUUGAUGUAUAUCUUGUCAGUCAAUUUGAAGAAAAAUUUGAGGAUGCUGAUGGGGUUGACCAACGUAUGACCACGGUGCCAGUUGCUACCAGUUCUAGUUAUGAUGAUAAUCAACAAGCCAGCAUUGAACCACAGUCACAACAUGCUCAUAGUACUCACUCUGAUCCUAAUUUAACCGAAGAUUCUGCUGGGAGGAUUAUGAGGAUAGUCCCUUCAGACGUUGAUAAUGAUGCAGACUAUUGGCUUCUAUCAGAUAAGGAAGUUCCUUUAACAGAUAUUUGGAACACAGACUUACCUGGGAUCGAAUGGGACCAUGUUGACUUGCUUAGUGAAGAAUUCAGGUUGGCAGAAGUCGGGACACCACGACCAACCACACUACCAUCGGUGAUGCACCCGUAAACGGUGCACUCAGGUGACCUGAGGUCAACAAGAAGUACCAAAAAGGUCAACAUUAUAAGCACCAAGGAUCUGUUCUUCAAAUGAUCCAAGAUGAUACAACAUUACAAUUUUCAUCUAAGCCAUGAACACCACCGCUUCAAUCGAAUUCGAGCUUCUCUCAAUGAAACCCGCUUGCUACACUUCCCUUCGAGACAUCCUGCGAUCACCGGCAACUGUUGUUCAGCUCUCGAAAGCUCCCUACUCUGCCGCCAAUCCGGGGUAUGAAAUCAUGAUUCGAAACCGCCUAGUGAAACAGGCAGCCUGGGCUUAUCUCCAACCCAUGUCAACCGACACUGAGUCAGGUGGAUCGGCUGUCUUCAACCGCCUGUGGACCCAGUUUACCGGUGCACUCUUUCGUCUUAUAACCACCGCCUUUGAUUGCAUUCUCCUGUCACUUCAGGUAAAGAGGUCACAAAGCUGUAAAAUACCCACCAUAGGUUCGGUUUAACUUUCUUUCCUAAUCUGUAGAAAAGAAAAAAUAAAUCAGUUGAAUGAAUGAAAAUCAAGUUACAAGUGUCUUUGUUCUC